rnacentral:rRNA from 1 species
GAUGAACGCUGGCGGCGUGCCUAAUACAUGCAAGUCGAACGCGCAGCGAGAGGUGCUUGCACCUUUCAAGCGAGUGGCGAACGGGUGAGUAACACGUGGAUAACCUGCCUCAAGGCUGGGGAUAACAUUUGGAAACAGAUGCUAAUACCGAAUAAAACUUAGUAUCGCAUGAUAUCAAGUUAAAAGGCGCUACGGCGUCACCUAGAGAUGGAUCCGCGGUGCAUUAGUUAGUUGGUGGGGUAAAGGCUUACCAAGACGAUGAUGCAUAGCCGAGUUGAGAGACUGAUCGGCCACAUUGGGACUGAGACACGGCCCAAA